CACCAAGUGUUGGAUUGUUC
rnacentral:snRNA from 1 species